UACGGAGGGAGCUAGCGUUGUUCGGAAUUACUGGGCGUAAAGCGCACGUAGGCGGCUUUGUAAAUUAGAGGUGAAAGCCCGGGGCUCAACUCCGGAAUUGCCUUUAAGACUGCAUCGCUUGAAUCCGGGAGAGGUGAGUGGAAUUCCGAGUGUAGAGGUGAAAUUCGUAGAUAUUCGGAAGAACACCAGUGGCGAAGGCGGCUCACUGGACCGGUAUUGACGCUGAGGUGCGAAAGCGUGGGGAGCAAACAGG
rnacentral:rRNA from 1 species